GGCUGCUAGUUGGUCUUCUUUUAUCAAACCAUUAUUUUGUCUUCAUGCAAUGUCAAACUAUGCCACAGCCUUAUGAUUAAAGUGGGGGAGAAGAACAAAACUUGCAUGGUUUCUUUAUUGUCUGACUCGUAAUCAAAGCAAAGCUUGCAGCAAAGUUGGCAAUCACAUAACCAAUAUAUUCAAUUAUACAUAUUUAAACUCUUUUGUUCUUAUGUGCAAGUCUUGAACGUGGCUACUUGAGAAGUGACUUGCUGCCAUGUAUGUUUGAUGUUGACUUGCCAAAGUUCAUUUUUCAUCUAUGCUUUGUACAGUACCACAAUAGACAAGCCAAGAGAAUUUCCUUGCCGGUCUUCUUGCCACUGAUAUUGUAAACUUGCAGAUGCUUCAUUUUUCUUUGCUUUGAUUAUAGUAUUGCCUUGCAGACACCAUACAAGUUGUGGCUCCACAAAAGGCAGAAGCUUUGACAUAUUUUUCUGGGACUACUCUGGUUCGUACAAUCCUUUGUGUCAACUAGCCCCCUCCAUUCACGGCGGGUUAUAAGCUUCGGCAUUCGUUGUCUCCAUUACUUGGGCACCCUUGCAAUCAUCUUGUGCAGGCGGAGUAACAUCUUGACUUUGGUGCUGCACAAAGAUCCCUCCGGAGAGUUUCUUCACUUUGACGCACCGCGAUACAGGCAUAAAAAACAAGUGCAGUGAACCCCCCUUCAACCUUUUCAACCUCGCUUCCGCCACCUAUACACAGGAUGCAGCACAAUAUAGGCAUCGAAAGCAAGUGCAGCAAAAUACACAGGUUCCUUUUGAGCCUUUUAGUAUUGAGGGAUUUGCUUUCGGGGCUGUUUAAGAAAGGUUAUAGAGCUCAUGUGAAAAGAAGAAGCAAGUCUUUUGCACUCAUGGAGACGUCAGCAAUGGUAAAGGAAAAAAAAAAGCAAGGAAGACCAUAAACAUAUGACCAGCAGGAUACCUGAAUAUAAAGCUCUCCUGUCGUCGGAUUGUCGUCUCCAGCUUUGUGUUCUUUAUAUAGGAGGCAAUGAGGAUUUUGGAGGGCUAGAUAACGCUUGUUAGAAAUUUGAAUUUCCCGAAGCACACGAAGAUAAGCUGCUGAUCAAGGACUU